rnacentral:rRNA from 1 species
GCUCAACCGAGGAAGUGCUUCGAAAACUGGUAAACUUGAGUGCAGAAGAGGAAAGUGGAACUCCAUGUGUAGCGGUGGAAUGCGUAGAUAUAUGGAAGAACACCAGUGGCGAAGGCGGCUUUCUGGUCUGUAACUGACGCUGAGAUUCGAAAGCAUGGGUAGCAAACAGGAUUAGAUACCCUGGUAGUCCAUGCCGUAAACGAUGAGUGCUAAGUGUUGGAGGGUUUCCGCCCUUCAGUGCUGCAGCUAACGCAUUAAGCACUCCGCCUGGGGAGUACGACCGCAAGGUUGAAACUCAAAGGAAUUGACGGGGGCCCGCACAAGCGGUGGAGCAUGUGGUUUAAUUCGAAGCAACGCGAAGAACCUUACCAGGUCUUGACAUACCAUGAAAAGCUUAGAGAUAAGUCUUUCCCUUCGGGGACAUGGAUACAGGUGGUGCAUGGUUGUCGUCAGCUCGUGUCGUGAGAUGUUGGGUUAAGUCCCGCAACGAGCGCAACCCUUAUUAUCAGUUGCCAGCAUUCAGUUGGGCACUCUGGUGAGACUGCCGGUGACAAACCGGAGGAAGGUGGGGAUGACGUCAAAUCAUCAUGCCCCUUAUGACCUGGGCUACACACGUGCUACAAUGGUCGGUACAACG